CAAAGGAAAAAUGUGAAAAUUCAAGGAAACAAGUGAAAAAGGUGGUGAAUCCUCCGCUAAGGGCAAAGAAAUUGUACUCGAGGAUCGGUAGUUAGAGUACUCUAGAAAUUCGACUCCCGAAAUAGCUCAGAAUAGGCUGUAGAUAGCUGGUUUCAUCGAGGCUACCAUUAGAUUUGCAUCCUCCAAACUGUUUCUGAGUAAAAGGUGACUGGAUCCUAGGACGAGGUGAUCCUCCCCAUCCAUUGUUCGGUAAGUUUGCCAUGAUACUAAGUGUUACCACCCACGCCUAGAGUCACUCCGCUGACAUUAAGAGUCUUUGAAUGUGUACAUGUAAACUGGAUGUGAUUUGCUAAGAAUCGUUUGGCAAACUUUUUAUGUAUAUUAAGAUUGAUGAAUCCCAUUAUGAGUAUAUAAUUGGAUUUUAUGAAUUGAUUUCAAUGAAGUUAUUAUUUGAACAUUA